UUCUCCAUAAAAAUUCUUGUACCAUGGUCCUUCUGUCUCAACAUCAGUUAUACUUGCAAUGGUCUUGUCUUUUCCUAUGAGGCCUGCUUCACUUGGAUCGCAUGAGUCUUGCCAAAUGGAAUGAGUAUAAUCAGGGACUUCUUCAAGCCCGGCAUUUGGGCCAAUUGAAAUGGAAUUCAACAUUUGAGUUUUGCGCCUGUACUUG
rnacentral:misc_RNA from 1 species